CCUGUGUUUGAACCAUUUAUGCUGAUAUACAUUCAGCUCAACAACAUACCAGCAGUUUGUGUUCAUUUACAGCAACAGUAAUCAUUUUAAUUCUUUGAGAUGGGACUAGGCAGAGUUUUGAGUUACUUUACUCUAGCAAUCUUCAUUCAAUAUUCCUGCAGUCAGACACUGAUCGAGUCUGAUUCAGUCAUCAUCAAACCUGAUCAGUCUCAUAAACUGACCUGCACAGCAUCUGGAUUGGACUUUAGUGGCUAUUACAUGGCUUGGAUCAGACAGGCUCCUGGAAAAGGACUGGAAUGGGUUGUAGCAAUGCACUCUAGCAGUUACAUAUAUUACUCCAGUGCAGUUAAAGGCCGCUUUACCAUCUCCAGAGACGACAGUAAGCUGCAGGUGUAUCUGCACAUGAACAGCGUGAGGACAGAAGACACAGCUGUGUAUUACUGCGCCCGACACACACAGUGAUACUUCUCCUUAGACAUCAGUACAAAAACACAUGCUUGCUAUAGUCACAUGACAAGCUCACAUUUUCAUAAGCAGUGUAUUCAUGGAGCUCAAAGAACCAAAAUGUUUUGACUUUUACUGCAUGUGGCUUAUUGUGAACAUUGUCUGGACAUUUAUGCUGGUAUAAGAUUACUUAGGUCAGAGUCAGUUCUGAAUAUAUAUAUAUAUAUGGUACAGAGGGUAAUGUUGCCACCUCACAGCUUCAGGGCCCUCGGUUUGAUCCUGGUCAUACAAAAUGCUCCACAUUAUAAUUCUUACUUUUUUUACUUAGUACUUUAGCUCUAUUUGAGUUUUUUUUUUUAACAAGUUGCUUUAAAAUCACUUCUUUUAGAUCUGAGUAUUUUGAAAACUGGACCUUUGUGCCUCUAGAGGGCAGUCUGUGCAAACUCAACCAUCUCAGUCUGUUGCUAUCUGCACUUUUAGGCCCCGUCUCUUUUCACAGGCUGCUAUGACUGCAUCCAGCACCAUGACUCUCAGAUUAAACUCCAGGAAGAUAAUUGCUUGUUGUUGCUUAUAUCAUUACUUUUGCAGAGUCUUGUGAGACAAAAUAUAAUUAAAUAAAUGCAAUGCUAUUC